GAUGAACGCUGGCUACAGGCUUAACACAUGCAAGUCGAGGGGAAACGACGGGGAAGCUUGCUUCCCCGGGCGUCGACCGGCGCACGGGUGAGUAACGCGUAUCCAACCUGCCUCUGACUGAGGGAUAACCCGUCGAAAGUCGGCCUAAUACCUCAUGGCAUCGUCUGCGGGCAUCCAACGACGAUUAAAGAUUUCAUCGGUCAGGGAUGGGGAUGCGUCUGAUUAGCUAGUUGGCGGGGUAACGGCCCGCCAAGGCUACGAUCAGUAGGGGUUCUGAGAGGAAGGUCCCCCACAUUGGAACUGAGACACGAUCCAAACUCCUACGGGAGGCAGCAGUGAGGAAUAUUGGUCAAUGGGCGGGAGCCUGAACCAGCCAAGUAGCGUGCAGGAAGACGGCCCUAUGGGUUGUAAACUGCUUUUAUGCGGGGAUAAAGUGAGGGACGUGUCCUUCAUUGCAGGUACCGCAUGAAUAAGGACCGUAUUCC
rnacentral:rRNA from 1 species